rnacentral:lncRNA from 1 species
CAAGAACUAACAAUUUCCUGGUUUAAUAGCCUUUUAUGAUUAGCAUGCAUCAUAGCAUUUAUACUAAAAAUAUCUCUCUAUGGACUCCACCUAGGACUCCCAAAAGCCCACAUAGAGGCCGCAAUUGCCAGGUCAAUAGUCCUCACAGCAGUACUCCUAAAAUUAGAUGGCUAUAGGAUUAUACAAAUCACCUUAAUUCUUAACCCCCUAACAGAGUUUAUAGCUUAUUCCUCCUUCUUACUAUCCUUUUGAGAAAUAAUCAUAACAAGCUCCUUUUGUCUGUGCCAAACUGAUCUAAAAUCACUCAUUACUUUUCCAUAAGCCACAUGGCACUUGUUAUCGUAGCUUUUCUCAUUCAAACCCCCUGAAGUUUUACCAGUGCAACUUCCCUAAUAACUGCCCACAGACUAACCUCAUCCCUAUUAUUCUGCCUUGCAAACUCAAACUACAAACGAGUUCACAGCCAAACCAUACUACUAACACAAGGCCUUCAAACACUUCUCUCCCUGAUAGCCAUGUGAUGACUCCUAGCUAGUCUUGCCAACCUUGCCCUGCCCCCUACCAUCAAUCUAGUAGGAGUAGUCUUCAUAACUACAGCGUCAUUCUCUUGAUCUAAUCAUACCAUCAUGCUUAUAAGACUUAAUAUACUAAUUGCAGCCCUUUACUCUCUGUAUAUGGUAAUUAUUACACAACGAGGGGUGUUCACAUAUCAUAUUAACACUGCUAAACCAUCUUUCACUUGAGAAAAAACCCUAAUACUUAUACAUCUUCUGACCUUCUUCCUACCAUUACUAAAUGCUAAGGUCAUUUUGGGGUUUAUAUAUUGUAGCUAUAGUAUAAUUAAAACAGUACUUUGUGGAUCUAAAAAU